CUUAAUCAACCGCCUGACACACCUCUAUUAUCCUUUUUAUCCUUACAUUUUCUAGCUUCAUAUUCUUUGAUCAUUUCUUCAUAUGACAAUAAUUUUCUUUCUUUUUUUUUUUAAGAUUUUAUUUAUUUAUUCAUAGAGAGAGAGAGGCAGAGACACAGGCAGAGGGAGAAGCAGGCAUCAUACAGAGAGCCUGAUGUGGGAUUCGAUCCAGGGUCUCCAGGAUCAUGCCCUGGGCUGCAGGCGGCACUAAACCGCUGCGCCACCAGGGCUGCCCGACGAUAAUUUUCUAAAAUAGUUUUCUGUAGAGAGAAUAAAAGAAAAUUCAUCCUUUUUUCUAGCAUGGUUGAUCAAAAUUUGUCUUUUUUUUGAUAAUCUUAUGGUUUUAUUAACACACAUAUGACACGCAUAUCAGCUGUCUAUUCAUUUUUUUCACUGUGCAGCCUGGCAUUAGGAUUGGUGAAUCUGAUGGCCACCUAGGCUGUUCCUCCCACAAUGGCUUUGCAGCUCAUGGAGGAGAGAGACAUUGUGAGCAGCACUUUAGGCUCCUUGGCCUCAUGGACUAGGAACUUCUGGAAGCCACUGGACAGCAUGCACUUUGCUUUCUUAUUGCUCACGUAACCACUGUUGGGCAUCAAGAUCUGGCCCUUGAAUCUUCUGUGCACCCUACAGCUAGUACCUCUGGGUUUCCACCACUUGUGCUUCAUUUUGACAUCUGACUGGUGCUGGAUGAACUUCUUGGUCCUCUUUUUAACAAUCGUGGGCUUCACCAGAGGUCUGAAGAUGGCCAUGAUGACAAGUUUAAUCGCUGUCCCAGUGACUUCUGCAUUAAGGAGAAGGCAAGAUAAAGGAUCCCUUACCAGGUGGAGAAAGAGGCUUUCUGAGUAGUGAAAGGUGCACGUGUGUGAGGUAUAUUUGGACA
rnacentral:lncRNA from 1 species